CUGCUCAGUGAUGUAAAUAUUAAAUAGCCGCGGUAUCUUGACCGUGCAAAGGUAGCAUAAUAAUUAGUUUUUUAAUUGAAACCUAGUAUGAAUGGUUGGACAAGAAAAAAACUGUCUCCUUUAUUUAAAUUGAAUUUAACUUUUAAGUGAAAAGGCUUAAAUAAGUCAAGGGGACGAUAAGACCCUAUAAAGCUUUAUAAAUUUAAAGAUUCUAUAAAUAUUUUGAUAAAAGUAAAUUCUUGAAAAUAUAUUAAGUUGGGGCGACAAUGGUAUAAAUGUAGUAACUGCUUUAAAAUAAACCAAAUAUAUUUGAGUAUUAAUAUUAAUUGAUCCUUUAUAAAGAUUUUAAGAUCAAGUUACUUUAGGGAUAACAGCGUUAUUUUUUCUGAGAGUUCUUAUCAAAGAAAAAGUUUGCGACCUCGAUGUUGAAUUAAAAUGUCUUUUUAGUGCAGCAGCUAUAAAAGAAGGUCUGUUCGACCUUUAAUAUUUUACAUGAUUUGAGUUCAGACCGGCGAGAGCCAGGUCGGUUUCUAUCUCUUGAAAAUAAAAAGUUUACUUUAGUACGAAAGGAUUAAGUAAACAAAAAUGUUUUAAUAAAUGAAAU
rnacentral:rRNA from 1 species